rnacentral:lncRNA from 1 species
UUGCCCGUCCAUUUAUCACCCCUUAAGCAUCAAAGGAAUUUAAUGAGGAUAUUUUACUUUCAAGAUAUAAGCAAAAAUAAAAAUAUCACCAAUAGAACUUUAACUAUUUUCCCAAUAUAUUGAUUCAUCUAAUCUUACAAAUUCCUACAGCCUUUUACUUUAGAAAUUACAUAAAGCUAAAAAGAUAACCUUUUUUAUUUACAAAUUACAAAUGAAUAAAGAUCAACGCCUUUAAUAUGUUCCAAGACGCUUUGGCUGGGGAAAAUAACAGAAAUUGUUGUACUUGUACAUACAUCAAAUGAAGGGCCAUAAGAGAUGUGAUAAAGGUGGGAGACCAGAUUACCAUUUUACCCAUGGCAACGUGGAGCAUUUUUGUCCAUGCAAAUUCUAACAAAGCCUUAACUCCUUUACCCCCUCCCCUCCCCUGCCCCCUAAAAUGCCUCUUUCUUGCCAUCUCUGUCUGUGCUUUUACAUUGCAUCUACAGAAACACAUACACACACAUGUUUCCACAGACCUACUUCACAUUAAUCAGGCCUCUUAUAUGUUAUAAUAUAAGAUGCAGUAGGUCGUAUUAUUCCCUUUCCUUUACAUUAAUUUCCUUUUAUUCAUGAUCUAUAAGCAAAAAGAGAAAGUAGUAGAAGAAGAAAAGGUGUGGGCAAAUGUUAAACGUACAUAGAAGAGCAACGGAAUGACUAGCACCAGCGGAGAUCUGAAGCACUUUUCGACUCACUGCUCUUUCACUACUCCCGUCAGCAGCCAUUUUUUUUUUUACCUCUGCUCUGUGUCUCUGAAUUUUCAGAGAAGAAAAGGUUGAAAAUAGAUAGUAAGCUUCUGGUUCAGUAAUAAUACGGAGAAAAGGAAAGAGAUAACAGAAAAAGGAAAGAUGGGUACAAAGAGCGUAUUUAUAGUGAUUGAGACGGCACAUGUGCCUAACUCGUGUCCUUGCAGACACACACUCAUGUUUUAAAUAGUGCAGUUGGAGCAUUUUCCACUGGUUUUUAUUCUAUAAUAGCUUUUUUCUUAUUCUUGUUACGAUAAAUAUCACAUUACGGUGGAUGUCUACUCUUCUUCCAUGAUUUUCAUCUCAAAUGCUUAAUGACAUAUUCAAUGACAUAUUUUCUUCACUUUUUAUGCCUAAAUAAAGGUUUUGUAAUAGAUAGGAAAAUACACACAAUUGAAGAAGAAAAUCUCUUCCUUCUCUC